rnacentral:rRNA from 1 species
AGCAGCCGCGGUAAUUCCAGCUCCAAUAGCGUAUAUUAAAGUUGUUGCAGUUAAAAAGCUCGUAGUUGAACUUCGGGCCUGUCCAGAUGGUCCGCCUUAAUUGGUGUGUACUGUCCUUGGGUGGGUCCUACCUUCUGGCGAAGCGGCAUGGCCUUAAUUGGUUGUGUUGGGGAACCAGGACUUUUACUGUGAAAAAAAUUAGAGUGUUCAAAGCAGGCAAAUAUGCUCGAAUACAUUAGCAUGGAAUAAUGGAAUAGGACGAUGGUUCUAUUUUGUUGGUUCUAGGACCGUUGUAAUGAUUAAUAGGGAUAGUUGGGGGCAUUAGUAUUCAAUUGUCAGAGGUGAAAUUCUUGGAUUUAUUGAAGACUAACUACUGCGAAAGCAUUUGCCAAGGAUGUUUUCAUUAAUCAAGAACGAAAGUUAGGGGAUCGAAGACGAUCAGAUACCGUCGUAGUCUUAACCAUAAACUAUGCCGACUAGGAAUCGGGCGAUGUUGACAAAAUGACUCGCUACGGCACC